UCCGGUCUCGUUUCCGUCACUCAUUGUUUUGGCGUGAGCCUGGGCUGCGUUGGUUGCCGAGGGGCCGCAGAUGAAUCGUGAGGGUAAGCAUUUGGUCUGUAGUAUUUACUUGCAAUUGCGGUUGUGAUUUGGAAAUUAUAGCGCCAUUUCCCUCUUGCAGUGCGGCGUUCACUCAGCACUUGUGAUCGCUUGGGAGCGCACUGAUAAACUCCAAGGAGCUAGGAGCUGUGUGGACACUGGUUGGCCUGCUCGUGGAAGUAGUUGGUGUGGCGUGGUGAUCCUCGAAAGCGUUGUGCUGGUGACUCGCGUGUCUGAGCCUUCAUCCGCGGCCCCUCCGGCACGAACCAACCAGUGUGUCUGUGCCUACGGGUCUGUCGGCUGCUGUUUCGCCUGGGAC